rnacentral:rRNA from 1 species
GCUUGCUUUCUUUGCUGGCGACCGGCGCACGGGUGAGUAACACGUAUCCAACCUACCCUUUACUCGGGGAUAGCCUUUCGAAAGAAAGAUUAAUACCCGAUAGCAUAAUGAUUCCGCAUGGUUUCAUUAUUAAAGGAUUCCGGUAAAGGAUGGGGAUGCGUUCCAUUAGGUUGUUGGUGGGGUAACGGCCCGCCAAGCCUUCGAUGGAUAGGGGUUCUGAGAGGAAGGUCCCCCACAUUGGAACUGAGACACGGUCCAAACUCCUACGGGAGGCAGCAUG